rnacentral:lncRNA from 1 species
AUGAAACUGUGGCUUCACACGAGAAGCAAACUGAGCCUACUGAAUUACAAAAUUGAUGUCUACUACUACACUAUCUACAUCCAGCAUCAUUAUUUUAUCUUUUACAUGAUGUCUUGUUUUACAGGCCCUGAUUUGCGCACCAGAUUAUCUACUGUAGUGACAUCUGCUGAUCUGCUGGUUGCUGAUCCUGUUGUUCACAGGUUUUUGAUUAAAACUGAGAACCAGUCUCUUCCACUCUGCUUCAACGUACCUGGAGACACUCGCCUAAAACUUCUUCACCAUCCCAGUGAGGGUCAGUACAACAUUCCUUGCAAUUUCAUUGUUUCUUUAUUAUCUUAA